AUAAUGGGAGCUACAAUUCAAGAUGAGAUUUGGGUGGGGACACAGACAAACCGUAUCACUGUUCAAAAAGGGACAAGAGCUCAAGCCGGGCUCUCUGGACCAUAGGAGCCUAGAGAGGGCAGGGGACAACAGGGCUGAGAUUCCAAGAGAAGACUUCUCAAAGGAAAGGCAGCACACACUAGGCUCUGAAGGGUGGAGAGGAUGGCACACAUUUAAUAAAUUGUACUCGGCACUUUCUCCAACCACUAAGUUCAGGUUUGGAAAGGACUGUGGAAUUUGUGCCUCAUUUGGGGGCCAAUAAACAUUUAGUAAAAUGUCCAAGGAGGACAUGUAGAGACACACACACACAUGCACACAGAUCCACCUUGGCAGCUCCAGAUAGAGCCUGGAACUGGCACAAUGAGAAAGGACUUCAGCAGGCAGCAAGUUACUGGCAUCAGACACCAGCAGGGAUUAGGGCGAGGGCCAAACCGAGAGGAGGAGAUGUGGAGUCAGCAGGUCCUGUGACCACCCUGGACCUGGAAGGUUGGCAGCUCCCUGGGAAUGUCUCAUCCAAGUGCCCAAUUUAGAUCUUACCCCAGAACUUGAGAAAUGCCAGGGAAGAGGAGAAGAGCCAGGAAAUGAUGAUGAAGAGCAGGGACUCACCGAGAACUGGACCCUCUCUCCUUUCCUAGUCAUUCCAGCCACAGCCCCAGCUCUGAGCUCCCACUUCUCGACCCCCUAAACAAGACACUAGUUGGGUAUUCAGACCCCUCAGCUUCACGGGAAGGAAUACACACAACACAAGCCUAUGAGGAUUCACCUAUCAAUCUCUCCUGGGUGCUAGCUCUGUCCACAUGAAUGUCUCCACCAGGCAGAGACUCAGGGCUCUCAGGCCAAGCUUAGGCCUGGUUAGAGGUAAACAUAUGAGAGCCAGCCAAGAUCUGGCCAGAGGGGCUCAUGCCAGCCCAGCCCCAACUGGGGUAUAUGUGCCAGCCUGGGGGAAUCCCACAGGACAAGCUGUUCUUUCCUAGAGCUCGGAUAAGGAUGUGAGCCUGACCCCAGGGGUCACCCAAGCCCAUCUUCCAUGGCUCCCAGGGCCUAACACAUUGUCUGUAUGACAGUCCACAGCACAUUGAUUUUGCCAAUAGGCUGUGACUCCGGAUUAGAUUCCAGAGUGAACUGCUGGCCUGGAGACCCAAGUCAGCUCUUUUUCACCAGCUAGGCCACUCAGCCUUCUGGAAAAGAGCACUGUGGUCUUGGAGAAAAGGCAUGGAGGUCUGGGCCCUGGCUGAGAACCUACAAGCUAAACCCCAAAGAGUCAGCAAGGCCCAGACCCAUUAUCAGUCAGGAUACCUCACCUGGAGACUCGCCUCUCACUCAGAUGCCCCAGCCCUAAGCAAAAUCUGCAUGAGGACCAACCCUCUUAGACUAGGGGACCUUGCACAUAAGAGUUGAGGCUUGUCCCGUCCUGGAGCUGCCCCUCCCAUCACCUGGCUUCUCUCCCAAUCUUCCACAGAGCCUCUCACUAUUCCUGCCCUAAAUGAAGUGGCCAGAGAGGCAAAAGGCCCAUUUAUCUUUUUAAUUGACCACCAGAUACCGACGUUCUCUGGAGAGCCCUCCCACACCACAUCUAGAUUGCCUGUGGGAGAAGAUGUUCUGGAAAGACCAUCAGGAAGGAGGCACAAGAAGACAGAAAACAGAGAAGGAGACAGAAGAGCCUGGAUUUCCCAAGCUAGAAUCCCAGAAGAAACACAAAAACCAAGUCUGUGACCGUCAGCAGCUCAACACGUCGCCUGCAGCCCAUCAAGGCCCUUCAGCCUUCUUUCUCUUGGGCAUAAAUUGGGCAAGCAACAACAGGAGAGGAGGGUACUCCGGAGGAACUCCCAGAAACCACCUCACCACCAAGGACUGCAGGCUGAAGAAAGCCUCUAAUUCCCAGCUCGGUUGCAGAAGAGAGAUGAUUGCCACAAUACCCUGAAAGCACUUCUGGUCAGGCCUGCCCAUUUGGCCUUCUUCAACUUUACCUCUGAUUAUCAACCGUUCCCCCUGCUCAAGCGGUCUUCUCUAAGGCCGCCUCUGCCAGAGCAGCCACGGGCCACAGAGAAGUACGCUUCACCUGCCAGUCACAAGCAAAGAAGAGAAGUUCCGUGCUUUGACAGAACACUAUCAAUCACAGGUGCUGAGCCAGUUUCAUUACUUAGCUGUUCCCAGGCCAGUUAACAUACAACCUCUCCCCUCUCCUACCUCAUCCUUUUGAAAUGGAGUUGUGGUGACGCAUGAAACAAGAUGUGGCCUGCAGAGAACCAAAGGGAAAACGUGAAAUUAAGGAAAUUAUGACUCUAUUUUGGGGUAAUUUCCAUGAAAUUAUUUAUGAAUCUUUUCUUUCCCUAAGGGGUGGCCAUAAAUCUCAUCUUUAAUGCAUCUUCAUUCGUAGCUUUCAUCUUCUGAUGGGCCUGCAUCUUUUGUUGGAAGUUGGAUGUUGCUGGUAGAAAUGUUAAGUCCACGUCUUAGGUGUACGGAGUUUGUAUAAAAUAUGAACUCUAAUGUGUAGAAUUUGCAGGUCGCUGAAGUGUCACAGUCUACUGAAAUGGGUCUGGAAUCAAUAAGGUACACAUCAAACUCAAUUGUAUUUAAUUUUCACUGCUACCUAGAGGAAAGCCUUGCAUGGCCCUACUCGCAUGAAAUUAAACAUGAAAGCCCAUCUGAAGUGUAGAAGCAAUACUUAAAAUGACCUGUAAAUAGAGCAAAACAUGGCAGCCCAGCCCAUCGCAAUAUUAUCGUUCAUUUCUCUUUCCAUAGUGGAGGUGACAGCCCCCAUAAGAAAAUCGGAAGAGACACAAGCACAUUGCAGAUCUAAAGGAGAGCUAAGUGUUUUCAGUUACACACCAGCAGGGCUUCCCUCUCUGCACAGCCCUGGAGUCUCUUCCAAGUGGAAAAUCACACUCUGUCCUUCAGCCUGAGAGUGAAGAGAGAAGGCAAGUAAAACAAGGACCUCCUGAACUUGGCCAGCACUCCACCCCUGCUGCCCCCCACCCCACCCAGCUCAGUUCCUUGGCCAGUGAGAUAAUGGAAGGUUCAGCCCUUGCAGCUGACGUGGGGUGGGGAGCAGACGCCCACUCUGGGCACUUCCAGCUGACACUGACCUUUCAGUCAUGGAAACAUUCCCCAGACCGACACUAAUCGGGGGCACAUCUGGCGUUUGGACUGCAUCCAGAUGGGGGUUUGUGUUAGUCGAGUCAGCAUGAUAACCCGCUGGGGAGGGCGGGAGGGGAGAGGACACAGCAGCUGAGAGCAAUCCCCAUCCUUGGCUGUGUGAGGGAGAGGUGGUCAUGCUGUGGCCAGUGAGUCACAGACUAGAGACCACCUAAUCCCUGUCCACCCCUGCUCUCCCUGCUCCCUCCAAAGGAGGACAAAACUGGAUCCACCCAGAAAGGCAACUCGCCAGAGUUGCACAACUGGUCAGCAGCAGACUGCGAUCUCAGUGUCCCGGGAAACGAUCUCAGUGUCUCAUCCACUCUAUUGCACUGCCCACUUUCUACACUCUCUCAAAGUGUAGCGUGUUAUUUCAGGAUAAAAUACAUGCUAAGGUGAUGAAAAGAGUCCAGCUGUUUCUUCUCUUUCACUUCCUCUGAUUUAUAAAAGUAUAGGAUGAUUUUCCAAGACAGUGACAAACCACCGUCGCUCCCACCCAUUCCACCCACCCCAAUUCUUUCAUCAUAGCUUCUUUUCUGGAUUUGGAAGAAGAGGCUGCCCUUUCUGACUGUUUCAUGGACUUUGUCAGAAAUCAACACAAUGUCUUAUCUCCCAUCCCUAGAACGAGCAACUGCAAUUGGGAAUAAGACUUCAUAGUAUCGAAGGUCCAGCUACACAGGUCAAGAAUGACAAAUGGUCUUGGCCAGCUCUCAGCCUCUGCCUUUACAAAGUCUGACACCUGUUGCAGUCACGAAUUGCACUGCUAAAGAGGUAAUCAAGCAAACCAAAGCUAGGAUAAAAGGGAUUAUGUCUCCACUCACCCACACAGAAAGAAGGCUGUCUCCAACUGCAGAAGGAAGUUCUUUCCAUGGGCCCUGGAGCACCCUCCCCACUUGUGGGCACCAUGGUUCAAGUCUGCCCCAGUGAUCCUCUCCUGUAUAAACCUCCAGGUCUAGAUUAUGGAAACCAGGAGUCUCAUCCAGCUGCUCAAAUAACAAAGAAGUUAGCAGGAUCUUCUGGUAUGAAUAAUUGUAACUGCAGAGAUCUAUUCAGCCUUAACCCUUUGCUAUAAACCUACAGAGAAACAAGGAAGCAACCCAGGUAAAAGCAAGACAAUGGUCAGUGGUCAACUUCCCAAGGUAGGUUUCAGCUUCCACAUUAACUAAUCAGCUUGCAGAGCUUGCAGCACCUUCUACAUCCAGCCUCUAGACAAAGGGCAACUAUCAUCCACCAACCGAUUUUGUCCUCUUCUGGAAGAAUCAGAAAGGAAAAAUGUCUUCACUUCGUUUCUCCUACUGUCCUCAAGAUCACCUCCCUCCCCAAACCCCUCACUUCUGUUGUCCUCUCUAAGAAAUAUGCUUUAUCCACUCCAAUGGGCAGGACAGUAGUAACUGAGACAGGAGAAUGACCCUCCUCCUUGCUUUAGGGAAGUUAUCAGUUCCACCCUCCUCGGGAAGCUCUGUAGUCUCUGAGAAGAGGCUCACAGACACCAUCACUCUACCUAAGCCAGUUAGGUCCUCUGCUGGUGCCAGCCUCUUUUUUCCCCACCAAUGAGUUGGUACAAAGCCAUUCCGUGUUCCAUGCCAAACCAGUUAUUCGCAACACUCAUCAAAAUCCGCCUCCGUCCACUAACUCAGCACUCCUGUUUUCCUAGCAUAGCCAACCUCCCUAACACCCUGACAUCCUGGCCUUCAGCUUCACUAUUUACAUCACAUGAGAGAUUUGGGUUUUGAAAGCCCAAUUCCCCCUGAAGAAAGUAUGCAGAUGAUUCAUCUUCUCUGAAAAAACUACCCAUCCCAGGCCUUGAUAUCCAUGCCAAAAAGUUCCUGAGGUGGGGCUCGGAGAGGACAGAGUGGGGGAGUUCUGUUACAUGGGAGAGCACUGUCUCAGUUUCCAAAUGAAAAAGAUGACACUCUGUUCUUGGGGCACUGCUUUGCCAGGGUGUCCUGCAGAAACCAAGGAAGCUUCCGUCCUGGAGUCACUGUGGACACAGCCUUGGAUCACCGUGGAGCCUCAGACCACACUGACUGCUCCCUGUCUCCGUGUCUAACCCCCUCUCACAUAGAGAGAUCUGACCGACCACAGACAUCCCCUCUGGCCUCCCGAGUGGUUUCUUCAGCACAGCUUCCAGAGCCAAAUUAAACGUUCACUCUAUGUCUAUAGACAAAAAGGGUUUUGACUAAACUCUGUGUUUUAGAGAGGGAGUUAAAUGCCGUUAACUUUUUAGGGGUGGGUGAGAGGGAUGACAAAUAACAACUUGUCUGAAUGUUUUACAUUUCUCCCCACUGCCUCAGGAAGGUUCACAACGAGGUCAUCCGUGAUAAGGAGUAGACCUCCCAGCCGGACCGUCCCUCAGCCCCCAGAGGACACUCCACAGAGAUAUGCUAACUGGACUUGGAGACUGACUCACACUCCAGAGAAAAGCAUGGAGCAGGGGUGCAGGGAGUGGGGCCAAGGUCCCAGGGACAGGAUGUCUAGGAGAGAGAUUGGGGUGAGGGUAAUCCAAUGCAAUUACUGUGGCAGCUCAACAUUCAAGGGAGGGGGAAGAAAGAUGUGCAGCAGAGAUGGUAAGCUCCAAAAUUUGAGGCUUCAGCUGCUGGAAAGUCUUAGGGGCAGAGAUAAUAAGACAUAGCAGACUUUGAGGGUUUACUACACACUAGACGCUCUAUGCAUUUACUUACUUAUUAUCUCUUAUUUAUUACUUUGUGUAACUCUUGUCAUAAUCUUAUGAAAACAGAAACCCUCACAUAGCCAUUUUACAGAUGAGAAAAGUGACAUUUUUGAUAGGAUAGCUAAGGAUAGCUAGUAAGUAAAGGAGCUGGGACCUAAAUCAAAGCCUUUCUAACCAGAGUACACACUCUUUUCUUUUUCCAGGAUAAUUUUUUUUAAUUUUUAUUUUAAGUUCUGGGAUACACGUGCAGAAG